CUCAAGGAUUUUUUAAAAUCCAUUUCAUUGUCUUUAGGAAAAUAAGU
rfam:Ictidomys tridecemlineatus contig014804, whole genome shotgun sequence.